rnacentral:rRNA from 1 species
CCUACGGGAGGCUGCAGUGGGGAAUAUUGCACAAUGGGGGAAACCCUGAUGCAGCGACGCCGCGUGAGCGAUGAAGUAUUUCGGUAUGUAAAGCUCUAUCAGUAGGGAAGAAAAUGACGGUACCUGACUAAGAAGCGACGGCUAACUACGUGCCAGCAGCCGCGGUAAUACGUAGGGUGCAAGCGUUAUCCGGAUUUACUGGGUGGAAAGGGAGCGUAGACGGGGGUGCAAGUCAGAUGUGAAAGCCCGGGGCUCAACCCCGGGACUGCAUUUGGAACUGUGCUGCUAGAGUGUCGGAGAGGCAGGCAGAAUUCCUAGUGUAGCGGUGAAAUGCGUAGAUAUUAGGAGGAACACCAGUGGCGAAGGCGGCCUGCUGGACGAUGACUGACGUUGAGGUUCGAAAGCGUGGGGAGCAAACAGGAUUAGAUACCCCAGUAGUC